AUGUAUCAUGGUCGCCUAUUAGCCCAAUGUUCUUUUGAGUUUCCUAAGAUGACUAACAAGUUGUCUAGCAUCACAUGUAAGUUGCCUUCCAUGACUAUCUAUCAAAAUUUUGAUCAUAUAUGUAGGAAACUUUUACUGAGUGAUUUAGGCAAGUACUAUUUAUAUCGAGGCAACUUAUUCCGUUGGAAAUUGCAAGUUUUGCAGCAGCAGCAACAGCAGCGCAGCCAUCUAAUUCCUCCAAAUUCAGUAAUAGUGCAUGCAACCACUGUGACAAUCAGACUCGGGUUACAGAUCAACUGUACAGCUACAAAUGGCAAAACAACGAAAAGGUCAAAAGUUCAGAUUUGUAGCAGCGACAAGUUCUUGGCUCUAAGCAAAUCUAACUGCAGGAAAGUAGGAGAGUGCUAUUUAUAUUGA
rnacentral:rRNA from 1 species